UACGUAGGUGGCAAGCGUUAUCCGGAAUUAUUGGGCGUAAAGAGGGAGCAGGCGGUCUGUUAAGUCUGAAGUCAAAUGCAGUAGCUCAACUACUGUUCGCUUUGGAUACUGGCAGGCUAGAGUGACGGAGAGGUUAGCGGAAUUCCAUGUGUAGCGGUGAAAUGCGUAGAUAUAUGGAGGAACACCAGUGGCGAAGGCGGCUAACUGGCCGUUUACUGACGCUCAGUCCCGAAAGUGUGGGGAGC
rnacentral:rRNA from 1 species